rnacentral:lncRNA from 1 species
UGGGCUGUGUGCAUCAUUCAAAAUUAGAGAAUGUAAGUAUCAAGUCUCAAUUCAAGAUUAUGAAUGAAAAAAAUAUAGAAUUACGGGGGGGGGGGGGAUAGGACCUUUAUCGGAACUCCGGGAUCGGGUGAUUUUAAGCUCGGGAUUUCGGGAUUGACCCUUUCGGGAUCCAGGAAUUCUAUUUCCGAAUUUCGGGUAGUCGGG